GAUGAACGCUAGCGGCAGGCUUAACACAUGCAAGUCGAGGGGUAUUAGGAGCUUGCUCCUAAGAGACCGGCGCACGGGUGCGUAACGCGUAUGCAACCUACCUUGAACAGGGGGAUAGCCCAGAGAAAUUUGGAUUAAUACCCCAUGGUAUAUUAGAAUGGCAUCAUUUUAUUAUUAAAGUCACAACGGUUCAAGAUGGGCAUGCGUCCCAUUAGCUAGAUGGUAAGGUAACGGCUUACCAUGGCUACGAUGGGUAGGGGUCCUGAGAGGGAGAUCCCCCGCACUGGUACUGAGACACGGACCAGACUCCUACGGGAGGCAGCAGUGAGGAAUAUUGGUCAAUGGGCGCAAGCCUGAACCAGCCAUGCCGCGUGCAGGAUGAAGCAUCUAUGGUGUGUAAACUGCUUUUAUACGGGAAGAAACCCUGCCACGUGUGGCAGAUUGACGGUACCGUAGGAAUAAGGAUCGGCUAACUCCGUGCCAGCAGCCGCCGUAA
rnacentral:rRNA from 1 species